GGCAGUUCUCCGGUAACACACCCCAGAAUCGGGCUCCCUCCUCUCUGGUUCAGGGUGUGGUCACCACAAAACCACU
rfam:Myotis lucifugus cont2.14595, whole genome shotgun sequence.